rnacentral:misc_RNA from 1 species
GAUGAAGAACGUAGCGAAAUGCGAUAAGUAAUGUGAAUUGCAGAAUUCAGUGAAUCAUCGAAUCUUUGAACGCAUAUUGCGCCCAUUAGUAUUCUAGUGGGCAUGCCUGUUCGAGCGUCAUUAAGUCCACUUAAGCCCUGCUUAGUGUUGGGAGACUGCUCCAGCGGUGCUACCCUGUAGCUACCCUGCAGCUCCUCAAAGACAGCGGCGGAGUUGUGGUAUCCUCUGAGCUUAGUAACUUGUUCUAGCUUUCGAGUACACCACUUCCCCUGCCGUAAAACCCUUAAUUUUUAAUGGUUGACCUCGGAUCAGGUAGGAAUACCCGCUGAACUUAAGCAUAUCAAUAGGCGGAGGA